rnacentral:rRNA from 1 species
AUUGAACGCUGGCGGCAGGCCUAACACAUGCAAGUCGAGCGAGCGGCGGACGGGUGCGUACUGUCUGGGGACUGCCCGAUAGCGGGGGAUAACUACUGGAAACGGUAGCUAAUACCGCAUACUAUAGGAUAACCCAUAUGGGAUUAGCUAGUAGGUGAGGUAAUGGCUCACCUAGGCGACGAUCCCUCUCUGGUCUGAGCGGCGUAUCAGCCACACUUGGACUGAGACACGGCCCAGACUCCUACGGAGGCAGCAGUGGGGAAUAUUGCACAAUGGGCGCAAGCCUGAUGCAGCCAUGCCGCGUGUAUGAAGAAGGCCCUAGGGUUGUAAAGUACGUUCAGUCGGGAGGCGUUACCGACAGAAGAAGAACGGGAGAACUCCGUGCCAGCAGGCGCGGUAAUUC